UGAUUUUAGAUUUUAAGAACCCUCAAAUUAGUUCUUCAAUGAGUUUCGCCGACCAAAAAGAAAGAAAGUAUUCUUCUAUUAAUCUCUUUCUGACUGACUUCAGAAGUACUUUCCUCACAAUUCUGUUAUCUCAUAUUCAAAAGGAGAUUUGACUGAAAAUCAAAAACAAAUAAAGUAAUAAAAAGUUACUACAAUAAGCCAUAGAACACCAUGCUUCUGUUAUUUUUAGUAUCACUUCUUCCAAUUUAUAUCAACCUUCUACGUAAACCUGCAUGAAGAUCAAAACAAAAUAAGUAUAUGAGAAAUGUAUACGAAGCAACUUAUGGGUGAUGCUUACUUUUUGAACUACAGAAAACUAGAAAAAAAAAUGGCAUAAUUCGUAAUUAUUAUAUCAUAGAUAGUACCUUUUGAAAAUCAUCUAUUCUUGGGAUAAAAUAUGUCCUUGGUAGUUGGUGGCUUUUUUCGACCGGAGCUUGACGAAGAAGUUGAGGCAGUGGUCGUAGGUGGCGGUUUUGUAGGGCAAAUGGCGUUCUGAAUGUUGGUGUUGUUGGAACUCAUUUUACGUAAGGGUGUUUAGAAAAACAAAAGUAAAGUUUCUUAAGCAAUGGCUAUGUGUGGUUUUUGGCACAUCACUUCCAAUAUCGCACAGAGGUAUUUAUAAGGAAGAUUUUAAGCCUUCAUUCAAAGAAGG
rnacentral:lncRNA from 1 species